AGCGAACGCUGGCGGCAGGCCUAACACAUGCAAGUCGAACGAACUCUUCGGAGUUAGUGGCGGACGGGUGAGUAACACGUGGGAACGUGCCUUUUGGUUCGGAAUAACUCAGGGAAACUUGUGCUAAUACCGAAUGUGCCCUUCGGGGGAAAGAUUUAUCGCCAUUAGAGCGGCCCGCGUCUGAUUAGCUAGUUGGUGAGGUAACGGCUCACCAAGGCGACGAUCAGUAGCUGGUCUGAGAGGAUGACCAGCCACACUGGGACUGAGACACGGCCCAGACUCCUACGGGAGGCAGCAGUGGGGAAUCUUGCGCAAUGGGGGAAAGCCUGAAGCAGCCAUGCCGGGUGAAUGAUGAAGGUCUUAGGAUUGUAAAAUUCUUUCACCGGGGACGAUAAUGACGGUACCCGGAGAAGAAGCCCCGGCUAACUUCGUG
rnacentral:rRNA from 1 species